GCUGGGACCUGGCUGCACCCAUGGGCUGAGGGCGCCACCGUGUGUCUGUCUUGGAGCAGUGAGAAGGAGGCUCUGGCCAAGGCCCUGCCACAGCUCCUGCCCGGGACACAUCAGUUCUCCUACUCAUGGUCACAGGAUGAAGGAGUUCUUGCCUUCUUUUUCAGAAAAGGAGACUGAGGGUCAGAGAAGCGAUUUGCCAAGUUCACACAGCCUGCAGCUGCCAUGCGACCCCAAAGCCACAUCCCCCUACCCACAAGCAAGAAUCAGACGUGCCCUCAGGGAUGGUGUGAACCUGUAGAUUCCAGCUGCUAUGUGACUUCUCGGGGUCUCUUCCUCAUCAGUAGGCCAGGAAGGGUGCAGAUGAGCGCCCCGAGGUGGCCAUGAGACAGGCCUGGAGCGCUCAGAGGUCGGCGGCUGAGGCACCCUGUGGGUCUUGCUGCUCCUGAGAAUUUUCCAAACACUGGGCUUCGUUUUAGAAUUUUUUGGUGUUUAUUGUCUUUCUCUAAACAUUUUCAUAUGUGAGUAAACUACUUAAAAAUUAGAAAAAUGUUCUUCAAAU
rnacentral:lncRNA from 1 species